rnacentral:rRNA from 1 species
UUUGGUUAAGUUAGAAAGGGCGCACGGUGGAUGCCUUGACACUAGGAGUCGAUGAAGGACGGGACUAACGCCGAUAUGCUUCGGGGAGCUGUAAGUAAGCUUUGAUCCGAAGAUUUCCGAAUGGGGAAACCCACCAUACGUAAUGGUAUGGUAUCCUUAUCUGAAUACAUAGGGUAAGGAAGACAGACCCAGGGAACUGAAACAUCUAAGUACCUGGAGGAAGAGAAAGCAAAUGCGAUUUCCUGAGUAGCGGCGAGCGAAACGGAACAUAGCCCAAACCAAGAGGCUUGCCUCUUGGGGUUGUAGGACAUUCUAUACGGAGUUACAAAGGAACGAGGUAGACGAAGCGACCUGGAAAGGUCCGUCGUAGAGGGUAACAACCCCGUAGUCGAAACUUCGUUCUCUCUUGAAUGUAUCCUGAGUACGGCGGAACACGUGAAAUUCCGUCGGAAUCUGGGAGGACCAUCUCCCAAGGCUAAAUACUCCCUAGUGAUCGAUAGUGAACCAGUACCGUGAGGGAAAGGUGAAAAGCACCCCGGAAGGGGAGUGAAAGAGAUCCUGAAACCGUGUGCCUACAAAUAGUCAGAGCCCGUUAACGGGUGAUGGCGUGCCUUUUGUAGAAUGAACCGGCGAGUUACGAUCCCGUGCGAGGUUAAGCUGAAGAGGCGGAGCCGCAGCGAAAGCGAGUCUGAAUAGGGCGUUUAGUACGUGGUCGUAGACCCGAAACCAGGUGAUCUACCCAUGUCCAGGGUGAAGUUCAGGUAACACUGAAUGGAGGCCCGAACCCACGCACGUUGAAAAGUGCGGGGAUGAGGUGUGGGUAGCGGAGAAAUUCCAAUCGAACCUGGAGAUAGCUGGUUCUCCCCGAAAUAGCUUUAGGGCUAGCCUUAAGUGUAAGAGUCUUGGAGGUAGAGCACUGAUUGGACUAGGGGUCCUCAUCGGAUUACCGAAUUCAGUCAAACUCCGAAUGCCAAUGACUUAUCCUUAGGAGUCAGACUGCGAGUGAUAAGAUCCGUAGUCAAAAGGGAAACAGCCCAGACCGCCAGCUAAGGUCCCAAAGUGUGUAUUAAGUGGAAAAGGAUGUGGAGUUGCUUAGACAACUAGGAUGUUGGCUUAGAAGCAGCCACCAUUUAAAGAGUGCGUAAUAGCUCACUAGUCGAGUGACUCUGCGCCGAAAAUGUACCGGGGCUAAAUACACCACCGAAGCUGCGGAUUGAUACCAAUGGUAUCAGUGGUAGGGGAGCGUUCUAAGGACAGUGAAGUCAGACCGUAAGGACUGGUGGAGUGCUUAGAAGUGAGAAUGCCGGUAUGAGUAGCGAAAGACGGGUGAGAAUCCCGUCCACCGAAUGCCUAAGGUUUCCUGAGGAAGGCUCGUCCGCUCAGGGUUAGUCAGGACCUAAGCCGAGGCCGACAGGCGUAGGCGAUGGACAACAGGUUGAUAUUCCUGUACCACCUCUUUAUCGUUUGAGCAAUGGAGGGACGCAGAAGGAUAGAAGAAGCGUGCGAUUGGUUGUGCACGUCCAAGCAGUUAGGCUGAUAAGUAGGCAAAUCCGCUUAUCGUGAAGGCUGAGCUGUGAUGGGGAAGCUCCUUAUGGAGCGAAGUCUUUGAUUCCCCGCUGCCAAGAAAAGCUUCUAGCGAGAUAAAAGGUGCCUGUACCGCAAACCGACACAGGUAGGCGAGGAGAGAAUCCUAAGGUGUGCGAGAGAACUCUGGUUAAGGAACUCGGCAAAAUGACCCCGUAACUUCGGGAGAAGGGGUGCUUUCUUAACGGAAAGCCGCAGUGAAUAGGCCCAAGCGACUGUUUAGCAAAAACACAGCUCUCUGCGAAGCCGUAAGGCGAAGUAUAGGGGGUGACACCUGCCCGGUGCUGGAAGGUUAAGGAGAGGGGUUAGCGUAAGCGAAGCUCUGAACUGAAGCCCCAGUAAACGGCGGCCGUAACUAUAACGGUCCUAAGGUAGCGAAAUUCCUUGUCGGGUAAGUUCCGACCCGCACGAAAGGUGUAACGAUUUGGGCACUGUCUCAACCAGAGACUCGGUGAAAUUAUAGUACCUGUGAAGAUGCAGGUUACCCGCGACAGGACGGAAAGACCCCGUGGAGCUUUACUGUAGCCUGAUAUUGAAUUUUGGUACAGUUUGUACAGGAUAGGCGGGAGCCAUUGAAACCGGAGCGCUAGCUUCGGUGGAGGCGCUGGUGGGAUACCGCCCUGACUGUAUUGAAAUUCUAACCUACGGGUCUUAUCGACCCGGGAGACAGUGUCAGGUGGGCAGUUUGACUGGGGCGGUCGCCUCCUAAAGUGUAACGGAGGCGCCCAAAGGUUCCCUCAGAAUGGUUGGAAAUCAUUCGUAGAGUGCAAAGGCAUAAGGGAGCUUGACUGCGAGACCUACAAGUCGAGCAGGGACGAAAGUCGGGCUUAGUGAUCCGGUGGUUCCGCAUGGAAGGGCCAUCGCUCAACGGAUAAAAGCUACCCCGGGGAUAACAGGCUUAUCUCCCCCAAGAGUCCACAUCGACGGGGAGGUUUGGCACCUCGAUGUCGGCUCAUCGCAUCCUGGGGCUGUAGUCGGUCCCAAGGGUUGGGCUGUUCGCCCAUUAAAGCGGUACGCGAGCUGGGUUCAGAACGUCGUGAGACAGUUCGGUCCCUAUCCGUCGUGGGCGUAGGAAAUUUGAGAGGAGCUGUCCUUAGUACGAGAGGACCGGGAUGGACGCACCGCUGGUGUACCAGUUGUUCUGCCAAGGGCAUAGCUGGGUAGCUAUGUGCGGAAGGGAUAAGUGCUGAAAGCAUCUAAGCAUGAAGCCCCCCUCAAGAUGAGAUUUCCCAUAGCGUAAGCUAGUAAGAUCCCUGAAAGAUGAUCAGGUUGAUAGGUUCGAGGUGGAAGCAUGGUGACAUGUGGAGCUGACGAAUACUAAUAGAUCGAGGACUUAACCAUAUAACA